AGCGAACGCUGGCGGCAGGCUUAACACAUGCAAGUCGAGCGCCCGUAGCAAUACGGGAGCGGCAGACGGGAGAGUAACACGUGGGAACGUACCCUUUGGUUCGGAACAACACAGGGAAACUUGUGCUAAUACCGGAUAAGCCCUUACGGGGAAAGAUUUAUCGCCGAAGGAUCGGCCCGCGUCUGAUUAGCUAGUUGGUGGGGUAAUGGCUCACCAAGGCGACGAUCAGUAGCUGGUCNGAGAGGAUGACCAGCCUCAUUGGGACUGAGACACGGCCCAAACUCCUACGGGAGGCAGUAGUGGGGAAUAUUGGACAAUGGGCGCAAGCCUGAUCCAGCCAUGCCGCGUGGGUGAUGAAGGCCCUAGGGUUGUAAAGCCCUUUCGGCGGGAAGAUAAUGACGGUACCCGCAGAAGAAGCCCCGGCUAACUUCGUGCCAGCCGCCGCCGUAAC
rnacentral:rRNA from 1 species